rnacentral:rRNA from 1 species
UACGUAGGGUGCAAGCGUUUGUCCGGAAUACUGGGCGUAAAGCGCGUGUAGGCGGCUUGGCAAGUCGGGUGUGAAAGCCCCGGGCUCAACCUGGGAAGUGCACGUCGAAACUGCUUGGCUUGGAGUACUGGAGAGGGAAGCGGAAUUCUCGGUGUAGAGGUGAAAUUCGUAGAUAUCGGAGAGGAACACCGGUGGCGAAGGCGGCUUCCUGGACAGUUACUGACGCUGAGACGCGAAAGCGUGGGGAGCAAACAGG